rnacentral:rRNA from 1 species
GGAACCUGACGCAGCACGCCGCGUGAGUGAGGAAGGUUUUCGGAUUGUAAAGCUCUGUCGGCUGGGAAGAAACGUAUGGAACUAGUAGCCUCUAUACUUGACGGUACCGCCAAAGGAAGCACCGGCUAACUCCGUGCCAGCACCCGCGGUAAUACGGGGGGUGCAAGCGUUGUUCGGAAUUAUUGGGCGUAAAGAGCGUGUAGGCCGCUUGAUAAGUCCGAUGUGAAAGCCCUGGCCUUAACCCUGAAGUGCCUUUGAAACUGUCUUGCUUGAUAGGGAAAAGGAAAGUGGAAUUCCUGGAGUUGACCCCCCCCA